rnacentral:rRNA from 1 species
CGCUGGCGGCGUGCCUAAUACAUGCAAGUCGAGCGAACGGACGAGAAGCUUGCUUCUCUGAUGUUAGCGGCGGACGGGUGAGUAACACGUGGAUAACCUACCUAUAAGACUGGGAUAACUUCGGGAAACCGGAGCUAAUACCGGAUAAUAUUUUGAACCGCAUGGUUCAAAAGUGAAAGGCGGUCUUGCUGUCACUUAUAGAUGGAUCCGCGCUGCAUUAGCUAGUUGGUAAGGUAACGGCUUACCAAGGCAACGAUGCAUAGCCGACCUGAGAGGGUGAUCGGCCACACUGGAACUGAGACACGGUCCAGACUCCUACGGGAGGCAGCAGUAGGGAAUCUUCCGCAAUGGGCGAAAGCCUGACGGAGCAACGCCGCGUGAGUGAUGAAGGUCUUCGGAUCGUAAAACUCUGUUAUUAGGGAAGAACAUAUGUGUAAGUAACUGUGCACAUCUUGACGGUACCUAAUCAGAAAGCCACGGCUAACUACGUGCCAGCAGCCGCGGUAAUACGUAGGUGGCAAGCGUUAUCCGGAAUUAUUGGGCGUAAAGCGCGCGUAGGCGGUUUUUUAAGUCUGAUGUGAAAGCCCACGGCUCAACCGUGGAGGGUCAUUGGAAACUGGAAAACUUGAGUGCAGAAGAGGAAAGUGGAAUUCCAUGUGUAGCCGUGAAAUGCGCAGAGAUAUGGAGGAACACCAGUGGCGAAGGCGACUUUCUGGUCUGUAACUGACGCUGAUGUGCGAAAGCGUGGGGAUCAAACAGGAUUAGAUACCCUGGUAGUCC